rnacentral:rRNA from 1 species
AACGCACCUUGCGCUCCUUGGUAUUCCGAGGAGCAUGCCUGUUUGAGUGUCGUGAACAUAUCAACCCCGACGGGAUUUUAAUCUCGACGGUGGCUUGGACUUGGGAGCCUGCUGGCCGUUGUAUUUCGGUCGGCUCUCCUUGAAUGCAUUAGCUCGAGCCUUUGUGGAUCAGCUUCGGUGUGAUAAUUGUCUACGCCGUUCUGUGAAGCAUAACUAUGGGAUUCGGCUUCCAAUAGUCCUUCACUGGACAAUAUCUUUGACCUUUGACCUCAAAUCAGGUAGGAUUACCCGCUGAACUUAA